AGAGUUUGAUCCUGGCUCAGGAUGAACGCUAGCGACAGGCCUAACACAUGCAAGUCGAGGGGCAUCGGGGCGAGGAGCAAUCCUUGCCGCCGGCGACCGGCGCACGGGUGAGUAACGCGUAUGCGACCUGCCCGUUGCAGGGGGAUAAUCGGGAGAAAUCCCGUCUAAUACCGCGUAACGCCGCGGGGCUGCAUGGCCCUGCGGCCAAAGGAAGCGAUUCCGGCAACGGAUGGGCAUGCGUGACAUUAGCUAGUUGGCGGGGCAACGGCCCACCAAGGCGACGAUGUCUAGGGGUUCUGAGAGGAAGGCCCCCCACACUGGUACUGAGACACGGACCAGACUCCUACGGGAGGCAGCAGUGAGGAAUAUUGGUCAAUGGGCGCGAGCCUGAACCAGCCAAGUCGCGUGAGGGAUGACGGCCCUACGGGUUGUAAACCUCUUUUGUCGGGGAGCAAAUUCCGCCACGUGUGGCGGAGUCGAGAGUACCCGAAGAAAAAGCAUCGGCUAACUCCGUGCCAGCAGCCGCGGUAAUACGGAGGAUGCGAGCGUUAUCCGGAUUUAUUGGGUUUAAAGGGUGCGUAGGCGGACUGUCAAGUCAGCGGUAAAAUACGGGGGCUCAACCUCCGCCCGCCGUUGAAACUGACGGUCUUGAGUGGGCGAGAAGUAUGCGGAAUGCGUGGUGUAGCGGUGAAAUGCAUAGAUAUCACGCAGAACUCCGAUUGCGAAGGCAGCAUACCGGCGCCCAACUGACGCUGAAGCACGAAAGCGUGGGUAUCGAACAGGAUUAGAUACCCUGGUAGUCCACGCAGUAAACGAUGAAUACUAGCUGUCCGGGGCGAAUGGGCCCUGGGUGGCACAGCGAAAGCGUUAAGUAUUCCACCUGGGGAGUACGCCGGCAACGGUGAAACUCAAAGGAAUUGACGGGGGCCCGCACAAGCGGAGGAACAUGUGGUUUAAUUCGAUGAUACGCGAGGAACCUUACCCGGGCUCAAACGACACAGGAACGGUCCUGAAAGGGGUCGGCUCUACGGAGCCUGUGUCGAGGUGCUGCAUGGUUGUCGUCAGCUCGUGCCGUGAGGUGUCGGCUUAAGUGCCAUAACGAGCGCAACCCCCAUCGACAGUUGCUAACAGGUCAGGCUGAGGACUCUGUCGAGACUGCCGGCGCAAGCUGCGAGGAAGGCGGGGAUGACGUCAAAUCAGCACGGCCCUUACGUCCGGGGCGACACACGUGUUACAAUGGCAGGUACAGCGGGAAGCCACCUGGCGACAGGGAGCGGAACCCGAAAGCCUGUCUCAGUUCGGAUUGGAGUCUGCAACCCGACUCCAUGAAGCUGGAUUCGCUAGUAAUCGCGCAUCAGCCACGGCGCGGUGAAUACGUUCCCGGGCCUUGCACUCACCGCCCGUCA
rnacentral:rRNA from 1 species